UUAAGCGACUAAGCGUACACGGUGGAUGCCCUGGCAGUCAGAGGCGAUGAAGGACGUGCUAAUCUGCGAUAAGCGUCGGUAAGGUGAUAUGAACCGUUAUAACCGGCGAUUUCCGAAUGGGGAAACCCAGUGUGAUUCGUCACACUAUCAUUAACUGAAUCCAUAGGUUAAUGAGGCGAACCGGGGGAACUGAAACAUCUAAGUACCCCGAGGAAAAGAAAUCAACCGAGAUUCCCCCAGUAGCGGCGAGCGAACGGGGAGGAGCCCAGAGCCUGAAUCAGUGUGUGUGUUAGUGGAAGCGUCUGGAAAGGCGCGCGAUACAGGGUGACAGCCCCGUACACAAAAAUGCACAUGCUGUGAGCUCGAUGAGUAGGGCGGGACACGUGGUAUCCUGUCUGAAUAUGGGGGGACCAUCCUCCAAGGCUAAAUACUCCUGACUGACCGAUAGUGAACCAGUACCGUGAGGGAAAGGCGAAAAGAACCCCGGCGAGGGGAGUGAAAAAGAACCUGAAACCGUGUACGUACAAGCAGUGGGAGCACGCUUAGGCGUGUGACUGCGUACCUUUUGUAUAAUGGGUCAGCGACUUAUAUUCUGUAGCAAGGUUAACCGAAUAGGGGAGCCGAAGGGAAACCGAGUCUUAACUGGGCGUUAAGUUGCAGGGUAUAGACCCGAAACCCGGUGAUCUAGCCAUGGGCAGGUUGAAGGUUGGGUAACACUAACUGGAGGACCGAACCGACUAAUGUUGAAAAAUUAGCGGAUGACUUGUGGCUGGGGGUGAAAGGCCAAUCAAACCGGGAGAUAGCUGGUUCUCCCCGAAAGCUAUUUAGGUAGCGCCUCGUGAAUUCAUCUCCGGGGGUAGAGCACUGUUUCGGCAAGGGGGUCAUCCCGACUUACCAACCCGAUGCAAACUGCGAAUACCGGAGAAUGUUAUCACGGGAGACACACGGCGGGUGCUAACGUCCGUCGUGAAGAGGGAAACAACCCAGACCGCCAGCUAAGGUCCCAAAGUCAUGGUUAAGUGGGAAACGAUGUGGGAAGGCCCAGACAGCCAGGAUGUUGGCUUAGAAGCAGCCAUCAUUUAAAGAAAGCGUAAUAGCUCACUGGUCGAGUCGGCCUGCGCGGAAGAUGUAACGGGGCUAAACCAUGCACCGAAGCUGCGGCAGCGACACUAUGUGUUGUUGGGUAGGGGAGCGUUCUGUAAGCCUGUGAAGGUGUACUGUGAGGUAUGCUGGAGGUAUCAGAAGUGCGAAUGCUGACAUAAGUAACGAUAAAGCGGGUGAAAAGCCCGCUCGCCGGAAGACCAAGGGUUCCUGUCCAACGUUAAUCGGGGCAGGGUGAGUCGACCCCUAAGGCGAGGCCGAAAGGCGUAGUCGAUGGGAAACAGGUUAAUAUUCCUGUACUUGGUGUUACUGCGAAGGGGGGACGGAGAAGGCUAUGUUGGCCGGGCGACGGUUGUCCCGGUUUAAGCGUGUAGGCUGGUUUUCCAGGCAAAUCCGGAAAAUCAAGGCUGAGGCGUGAUGACGAGGCACUACGGUGCUGAAGCAACAAAUGCCCUGCUUCCAGGAAAAGCCUCUAAGCAUCAGGUAACAUCAAAUCGUACCCCAAACCGACACAGGUGGUCAGGUAGAGAAUACCAAGGCGCUUGAGAGAACUCGGGUGAAGGAACUAGGCAAAAUGGUGCCGUAACUUCGGGAGAAGGCACGCUGAUAUGUAGGUGAAGUCCCUCGCGGAUGGAGCUGAAAUCAGUCGAAGAUACCAGCUGGCUGCAACUGUUUAUUAAAAACACAGCACUGUGCAAACACGAAAGUGGACGUAUACGGUGUGACGCCUGCCCGGUGCCGGAAGGUUAAUUGAUGGGGUCAGCGCAAGCGAAGCUCUUGAUCGAAGCCCCGGUAAACGGCGGCCGUAACUAUAACGGUCCUAAGGUAGCGAAAUUCCUUGUCGGGUAAGUUCCGACCUGCACGAAUGGCGUAAUGAUGGCCAGGCUGUCUCCACCCGAGACUCAGUGAAAUUGAACUCGCUGUGAAGAUGCAGUGUACCCGCGGCAAGACGGAAAGACCCCGUGAACCUUUACUAUAGCUUGACACUGAACAUUGAGCCUUGAUGUGUAGGAUAGGUGGGAGGCUUUGAAGUGUGGACGCCAGUCUGCAUGGAGCCGACCUUGAAAUACCACCCUUUAAUGUUUGAUGUUCUAACGUUGACCCGUAAUCCGGGUUGCGGACAGUGUCUGGUGGGUAGUUUGACUGGGGCGGUCUCCUCCUAAAGAGUAACGGAGGAGCACGAAGGUUGGCUAAUCCUGGUCGGACAUCAGGAGGUUAGUGCAAUGGCAUAAGCCAGCUUGACUGCGAGCGUGACGGCGCGAGCAGGUGCGAAAGCAGGUCAUAGUGAUCCGGUGGUUCUGAAUGGAAGGGCCAUCGCUCAACGGAUAAAAGGUACUCCGGGGAUAACAGGCUGAUACCGCCCAAGAGUUCAUAUCGACGGCGGUGUUUGGCACCUCGAUGUCGGCUCAUCACAUCCUGGGGCUGAAGUAGGUCCCAAGGGUAUGGCUGUUCGCCAUUUAAAGUGGUACGCGAGCUGGGUUUAGAACGUCGUGAGACAGUUCGGUCCCUAUCUGCCGUGGGCGCUGGAGAACUGAGGGGGGCUGCUCCUAGUACGAGAGGACCGGAGUGGACGCAUCACUGGUGUUCGGGUUGUCAUGCCAAUGGCACUGCCCGGUAGCUAAAUGCGGAAGAGAUAAGUGCUGAAAGCAUCUAAGCACGAAACUUGCCCCGAGAUGAGUUCUCCCUGACUCCUUGAGAGUCCUGAAGGAACGUUGAAGACGACGACGUUGAUAGGCCGGGUGUGUAAGCGCAGCGAUGCGUUGAGCUAACCGGUACUAAUGAACCGUGAGGCUUAACCUU
rnacentral:rRNA from 1 species